rnacentral:rRNA from 1 species
GACGAACGCUGGCGGCGUGCUUAACACAUGCAAGUCGAACGAUGACGACCGAGCUUGCUCGGUCUGAUUAGUGGCGAACGGGUGAGUAACACGUGAGCAACCUGCCCUUCACUCUGGGAUAACCUCGGGAAAUCGGGGCUAAUACCGGAUAUGAGCUCCUGUCGCAUGGCGGGUGUUGGAAAGUUUUUCGGUGAAGGAUGGGCUCGCGGCCUAUCAGUUUGUUGGUGAGGUAGUGGCUCACCAAGGCGAUGACGGGUAGCCGGCCUGAGAGGGCGACCGGCCACACUGGGACUGAGACACGGCCCAGACUCCUACGGGAGGCAGCAGUGGGGAAUAUUGCACAAUGGGCGAAAGCCUGAUGCAGCGACGCGGCGUGAGGGAUGACGGCCUUCGGGUUGUAAACCUCUUUCAGCAGGGAAGAAGCGAAAGUGACGGUACCUGCAAAAGAAGCGCCGGCUAACUACGUG